GCUUGGGUAGCUCAGUUGGUAGAGCACUGCCGGCCGAAGUGGGCGUGCGGUUCAAGACCGCAAGACCGCUACGGUCGCAGGUUCGAAUCCUGCCUCGGGCA